rnacentral:rRNA from 1 species
GAUGAACGCUGGCGGCGUGCCUAAUACAUGCAAGUCGAGCGAACGGACGAGAAGCUUGCUUCUCUGGUGUUAGCGGCGGACGGGUGAGUAACACGUGGAUAACCUACCUAUAAGACUGGGAUAACUUCGGGAAACCGGAGCUAAUACCGGAUAAUAUUUUGAACCGCAUGGUUCAAAAGUGAAAGACGGUCUUGCUGUCACUUAUAGAUGGAUCCGCGCUGCAUUAGCUAGUUGGUAAGGUAACGGCUUACCAAGGCAACGAUGCAUAGCCGACCUGAGAGGGUGAUCGGCCACACUGGAACUGAGACACGGUCCAGACUCCUACGGGAGGCAGCAGUAGGGAAUCCUCCGCAAUGGGCGAAAGCCUGACGGAGCAACGCCGCGUGAGUGAUGAAGGUCUUCGGAUCGUAAAACUCUGUUAUUAGGGAAGAACAUAUGUGUAAGUAACUGUGCACAUCUUGACGGUACCUAAUCAGAAAGCCACGGCUAACUACGUG